rnacentral:rRNA from 1 species
GCAGCACGGGUGCUUGCACCUGGUGGCGAGUGGCGAACGGGUGAGUAGUACAUCGGAACGUACCUUAUCGUGGGGGAUAACGCAGCGAAAGUUGCGCUAAUACCGCAUACGCCCUGAGGGGGAAAGCGGGGGACCGUAAGGCCUCGCGCGAUUAGAGCGGCCGAUGUCUGAUUAGCUUGUUGGUGAGGUAAAAGCUCACCAAGGCGAUGAUCAGUAGCUGGUCUGAGAGGACGAUCAGCCACACUGGGACUGAGACACGGCCCAGACUCCUACGGGAGGCAGCAGUGGGGAAUUUUGGACAAUGGGGGCAACCCUGAUCCAGCAAUGCCGCGUGAGUGAAGAAGGCCUUCGGGUUGUAAAGCUCUUUUGUCAGGGAAGAAACAGCAGCUCUAACACAGUCUGCGAAUGACGGUACCUGAAGAAUAAGCACCGGCUAACUACGUGCCAGCAGCCGCGGUAAUACGUAGGGUGCGAGCGUUAAUCGGAAUUACUGGGCGUAAAGCGUGCGCAGGCGGUUAUACAGGACAGGCGUGAAAUCCCCGGGCUUAACCUGGGAAUGGCGUCUGUGACUGUAUAGCUAGAGUGUGUCAGAGGGGGGUGGAAUUCCACGUGUAGCAGUGAAAUGCGUAGAUAUGUGGAGGAACACCAAUGGCGAAGGCAGCCCCCUGGGAUAACACUGACGCUCAUGCACGAAAGCG